rnacentral:rRNA from 1 species
CCUACGGGUGGCAGCAGUGGGGAAUAUUGCACAAUGGGGGAAACCCUGAUGCAGCGACGCCGCGUGAGUGAUGAAGUAUUUCUGUAUGUAAAGCUCUAUCAGCCGGGCAGCAAAUGACGGUACCUGACUCCUCCUCCCCGGCUCCCUACGUACCCGCCGCCGAGGUACUACGUAGGGGGCAGGCGUUCUCCGGAUUUACUGGGUGUAAAGUGGUCGUAGACGGUGAUGCAGGUCAGCAGGGAAAGCCCGGGGAUCACCUCCGGGACUGCUUUUUAAACUGGGUGACUGGAGUGCAGGAGAGGUAAGCGGAAUGCGUGGUGUAGCGGUGAAAUGCGUAGAUAUCAGGAGGAACACCAGUGGCGAAGGCAGCGUACUGGACUGUAACUGACGUUGAGGCUCGAAAGCGUGGGGAGCGAACAGGAUUAGAUACCCUAGUAGUC